rnacentral:misc_RNA from 1 species
CCGAGUUAUCAACUCCCAAACCCCUGUGAACUAUACCUAUAUGUUGCCUCGGCGGAUCAUCCGCGCCCCGUACGGGGACCCCCCAGAUCCACACUCUGAAUUUUUUAAUAGUAUCUUCUGAGGGUAACAAACAAUGUAAUCA